rnacentral:rRNA from 1 species
GCUGAAGCGACAAAUGCCCUGCUUCCAGGAAAAGCCUCUAAGCAUCAGGUAACAUCAAAUCGUACCCCAAACCGACACAGGUGGUCAGGUAGAGAAUACCAAGGCGCUUGAGAGAACUCGGGUGAAGGAACUAGGCAAAAUGGUGCCGUAACUUCGGGAGAAGGCACGCUGAUAUGUAGGUGAAGCGACUUGCUCGUGGAGCUGAAAUCAGUCGAAGAUACCAGCUGGCUGCAACUGUUUAUUAAAAACACAGCACUGUGCAAACACGAAAGUGGACGUAUACGGUGUGACGCCUGCCCGGUGCCGGAAG